rnacentral:rRNA from 1 species
ACUCCUACGAGAGGCAGCAGUGGGGAAUAUUGCACAAUGGGGGAAACCCUGAUGCAGCCAUGCCGCGUGUGUGAAGAAGGCCUUCGGGUUGUAAAGCACUUUCAGUAGGGAGGAAGGUAGUGUAGUUAACACCUGCAUUAUUUGACGUUACCUACAGAAGAAGCACCGGCUAACUCCGUGCCAGCAGCCGCGGUAAUACGGAGGGUGCGAGCGUUAAUCGGAAUUACUGGGCGUAAAGCGCAUGCAGGCGGCCUGUUAAGUCAGAUGUGAAAGCCCGGGGCUUAACCUCGGAAUUGCAUUUGAAACUGGCAGGCUAGAGUCUUGUAGAGGGGGGUAGAAUUUCAGGUGUAGCGGUGAAAUGCGUAGAGAUCUGAAGGAAUACCAGUGGCGAAGGCGGCCCCCUGGACAAAGACUGACGCUCAGAUGCGAAAGCGUGGGGAGCAAACAGGAUUAGAUACCCUGGUAGCACAGAG